rnacentral:rRNA from 1 species
GAGUAAUAUCUGGGAAUCUGCCCAAAAGAGGGGGAUAACUACUAGAAAUGGUAGCUAAUACCGCAUAAAGUUGAGAAACCAAAGUGGGGGACCUUUUAGGCCUCAUGCUUUUGGAUGAGCCCAGACGAGAUUAGCUUGUUGGUAAGGUAAAAGCUUACCAAGGCUUCGAUCUCUAGCUGUUCUGAGAGGAUAGACAGCCACACUGGAACUGAGACACGGUCCAGACUCCUACGGGAGGCAGCAGUGGGGAAUAUUGCACAAUGGGCGAAAGCCUGAUGCAGCUAUGCCGCGUGUAUGAAGAAGGCCUUAGGGUUGUAAAGUACUUUCAGCGGGGAGG